UCGAGCCCGGCUCGUUUACACCCCUAGGAGCAAGUUUGCUAAACCAUAAUUAGUUUUUAUAACUACAAUCCUUGUACUUGUAAUUUAUUAAACCUCAAUAAAUAAAUAAAUAAAUAACCUAAUUGUCAUUCAUGGACAUAGAUCAAUUUAGACCGAACCACGUGAAUAUAUAUGUUUGUUUAUUGUUUUUCAUGUUUCAUGUGUGCUCAAUCUAACACCUAAUAUCUAUGCUAAAACAAUAUGAUGAAACAUGAGAUGUUUAUUUUAUAACAAUUCAUACUAGCUCUCUGCAAAAUGUACAAAUCGUGUUAUACAAGUGAUGGUUUAGAACGGGUUCGGAUUAAAAUAAGCUAUUUAGAAGUAUCAAUUAAUUUUAGGUCAAAACGAGUUAUGCCCAAAGUUGGUUAAAACUGAGAAGGGUCGUGUUCGAAAAAAAGGUUAAAACGAGUUAUGCCCAAAGUUAAUUAAAACUGAAAUGGACCGUGUUCGAAAAAAAUGUUAAUCUGACAAAAAAUUGGUAAGUGUAGCAAAUAUUGAACACAUACAUGAAUGCAUGACUGUCUAAAUAUUUUGAAUUGGGGUUUUGUAAUGUUAAUGCAAACAUAGAUCAUGAUAAUAUAAUUAUAAAAUACAUGAUAGAAAUUUUAUUUAUAAAUGAUCAUAUAUUCAUAGAUCGACCACCAAGUGCACUGAACAAAAAUUUGGUAAAUAAGUCAUACUCUUGAUACGACGAUGAUGAGACCUUUCAAUGAGACCCUAGAGGAGGGUUACCCUUUUACAUUUUAUGUGGUUUAUGUUUUUCAUGGUGAUGAGACCCGUCAAUGAGACCCUAGACGAGGGUAACCCUUUUAUUUAAGAAAAAUAACUUAGAUUUGAUAAAUAAAAAAUAAAGACGGUCACUGUUAUUUUAAACUAUCAAACUCGUGCUUAAAAACUAGUAAUGUUUCCUAUUUGAAUGUAACCUUAUUAUUUGAUUGAACAAUUUAGGGUGUGCAACUAUUUUGUUAGGUCCUAAUGUUUUUAUAUCUUAGGUAUAAAUUCACGUAAAAAUGUGUAGAUAAAAGGUGUUUAGAUUAGUUCUGUAGUAUAAUCGUGUGUUGACCAAAGUAUAAUCUUAGUGAAUUGUCUAAGUUUGUAAAAAUUAAACGUAUAUUAAUCAUCAUGAUAGAGUAUAGACUUCGUUGCGGUAAAGGUUUGUCAUUUACAUAACUCAAAAAAAAUUAAACUUAUAUAAUUUUUGUUAGUCAACUUAAGCUGAAUGCAUCAAAAACAGCCUAAAAUAUAGAAAAAUACUAAUGUGACAUGUAGUAUGUUGGUCCAUUAGACCAAGUAGAACUUGAUCCAUUGUUCGAGCAUCCAUAUUUGAGUUUAAUAUAUUAUCCUUUUAUAUAUUUAUAUUAUUAUAUAAGCCUUAAAAAUGUGUAGAUAAAAGGUGUCUAAAAGAUACAUUCUUAAAAGAAACUUUAAUUUUAAGGUACUCUUUUUAUUUGGUUUACAAUUAUUGUUGGGAGUUAAAUUAUGUACUUUUAUAUUUUUCUAUUCGUCAAUAGAAACAUCUGAGAUUCUAAUAGCUUUAUGAUUUUUUAUAGCAAAUCUUUUAUACUUUAAUUCCAUUUUUAUCUUACACUUCUAAGGAUUUAUUUAAUUAUUAAAGUCCUUCAUUCGAAAAUCUUUUGAAGGAAAUUAAAACAUUCAUGUUACAUCUAAUUAUAUCCCUCAAAAGAGAAAUGAAGAUGGAAGCCUGAUGGUUUGGAUCUAUGUUGUGGAUUGCGUGUAUAUACCCUAA
rnacentral:lncRNA from 1 species